GGGGUUGACGGUACCCUACUAGAAAGGAGCCGCUAACUUCGUGCCAGAAGCGUCGGUAAUACGGGGGCUCCAAGCGUUAUCCGGUGUUAUUGGGCGUAAAGAGUCGUGUAGGUGGUUGGGUAAGUUAUCUUUCAAAUAUCUUUGCUUAACAAAGAGGAGGGGGAUAAUACUGCUCGACUAGAAUUUUCUCAAGGGAGAUCGGAACUGAGGGAGGAGUAGUGAAAUGCGUUGAUACCCUCGGGAACACCAGUGGCGUAGGCGGAUCUCUGGGAGAAGAUUGACACUGAGACACGAAAGCUAGGGGAGCGAAGCAGAUUAGAGACCUGCGUAGUCCUAGCCGUAAACGCAUGCUUGCUAGCUGCAUGAAUCUACCUUCGGGUGGUAUCGUGUGGCGAAGGUAACCCGUUAAGCAAGCCGCCUGGAAAGUACGGCCGCAAGGCUGAAAUUCAAAGGAAUUGGCGGGGAGGCACACAGCCAGUGGAACAUGUGGUUUAAUUCGAGACUAACCGAAGAACCUCACCAGGGUUUGACAUGUAGCUGCACGUCUUAAGAAAUUAAGACUCUCUUGAAGGUGCUACACAGGUGCUGCAUGGCUGUCGUCAGCUCGUUCCGUGAGGAGUGCCCUUAAGUGGGACAACGAGCGCAACCCCUAUUACAUGUUAGAAAUGUCAUGUAAGACUGCCUUGCCAUUUGGCGGGGAGGAAGGAGGGGCAGACGUCAAGUCCGCAUGGUCCUUAUGCCCUGGGCUACACACAUGUUACAAUGAGUACGGCAAUGAGUCUGUCGCGAGCACGUAAGUGUAAGCUAAUCUCUUAAAUGUACUCUCAGUGGGGAUUGAGGUCUGCAACUCGACCUCAUGAACACGGAAUUGGUAGUAAUCGCGGGUCAGCUAUACCGCGGUGAUACGUUCUUGCCUCUUGCACACACCGCCCGUCAAACCAGCAAAGUCGAUUGUAUCCGAACCUCUCUUUU
rnacentral:rRNA from 1 species